rnacentral:ncRNA from 1 species
AGCACUUUUCAUAUGUGCUGACAGAUGUAAGUCCGACGUGCGACACCGCAUGGCCUCAAACAUGGCUUUGGGAUUAC